rnacentral:rRNA from 1 species
CCUACGGGUGGCAGCAGUGGGGAAUAUUGCACAAUGGGGGAAACCCUGAUGCAGCGACGCCGCGUGAGUGAAGAAGUAAUUCGUUAUGUAAAGCUCUAUCAGCAGGGAAGAAAAUGACGGUACCUGAGUAAGAAGCCCCGGCUAACUACGUUCCAGCAGCCGCGGUAAUAAGUUGGGGGCAAGGGUUAUCCGGAUUUACUGGGUGUAAAGGGAGCGUAGACGGGAGUGCAAGUCUGGAGUGAAAGGCGGGGGCUCAACCCCCGGACUGCUCUUGAAACUGUACGGCUGGAGUGCAGGAGAGGUAAGUGGAAUUCCUGGUGUAGCGGUGAAAUGCGUAGAUAUUAGGAGGAACACCAGUGGCGAAGGCGGCUUACUGGACUGUAACUGACGUUGAGGCUCGAAAGCGUGGGGAGCAAACAGGAUUAGAUACCCCAGUAGUC